GGGGAUGGGCGGCAGCCUACACAUGCAGUCGAACGGUAGCACAGAGAGCUUGCUCUCGGGUGACGAGUGGCGGACGGGUGAGUAAUGUCUGGGAAACUGCCUGAUGGAGGGGGAUAACUACUGGAAACGGUAGCUAAUACCGCAUAACGUCGCAAGACCAAAGAGGGGGACCUUCGGGCCUCUUGCCAUCAGAUGUGCCCAGAUGGGAUUAGCUAGUAGGUGGGGUAACGGCUCACCUAGGCGACGAUCCCUAGCUGGUCUGAGAGGAUGACCAGCCACACUGGAACUGAGACACGGUCCAGACUCCUACGGGAGGCAGCAGUGGGGAAUAUUGCACAAUGGGCGCAAGCCUGAUGCAGCCAUGCCGCGUGUAUGAAGAAGGCCUUCGGGUUGUAAAGU
rnacentral:rRNA from 1 species